rnacentral:rRNA from 1 species
UACGUAGGGGGCUAGCGUUGUCCGGAAUCAUUGGGCGUAAAGAGCGCGUAGGCGGCCAGAUAAGUCCGGUGUGAAAGUCAAAGGCUCAACCUUUGAAUGCCGCUGGAAACUGUCUGGCUAGAGUCCGGGAGGGGCGAGUGGAAUUCCUGGUGUAGCGGUGAAAUGCGCAGAUAUCAGGAGGAACACCGGUGGCGAAGGCGGCAUCCUGGACCGGUAUUGACGCUGAGGAGCGAAAGCCAGGGGAGCAAACGGG